rnacentral:rRNA from 1 species
GGCGAACGCUGGCGGCAGGCUUAACACAUGCAAGUCGAGCGGGCACUUUCGGGUGUCAGCGGCGGACGGGUGAGUAACGCGUGGGAACGUGCCCUCUGGUUCGGAAUAACUCAGGGAAACUUGAGCUAAUACCGGAUACGCCCUUUUGGGGAAAGGCUUGCUGCCGGAGGAUCGGCCCGCGUCUGAUUAGCUAGUUGGUGAGGUAACGGCUCACCAAGGCGACGAUCAGUAGCUGGUCUGAGAGGAUGAUCAGCCACACUGGGACUGAGACACGGCCCAGACUCCUACGGGAGGCAGCAGUGGGGAAUAUUGGACAAUGGGCGCAAGCCUGAUCCAGCCAUGCCGCGUGAGUGAUUAAGGCCUUAGGGUUGUAAAGCUCUUUUAUCCGGGACGAUAAUGACGGUACCGGAGGAAUAAGCCCCGGCUAACUUCGUG